GGUUUGUGGCUCAGUGGUAGAGCGCUUGCCUAGCAUGUGUGAGAUACUGGGUUCAAUUUUCAGCACCA
rnacentral:tRNA from 1 species